GACAGAGGGUGCAAACGUUGCUCGGAAUCACUGGGCGUAAAGGGCGUGUAGGCGGGACAGUAAGUCGGGCGUGAAAUCCCUGGGCUCAACCCAGGAACUGCACUCGAAACUACUAUUCUUGAGUGUCGGAGAGGAAAGCGGAAUUCCUGGUGUAGAGGUGAAAUUCGUAGAUAUCAGGAGGAACACCAGUGGCGGAAGGCGGCUUUCUGGACG
rnacentral:rRNA from 1 species